rnacentral:lncRNA from 1 species
UCAAACCAUGGCCUUGCCAGCCCUUAGCCCUUCAGGAUGUCUUAGGUAGGUGAUGGUGAGGGAGAGGCAGACGACGAGGACUCAGAAGGCAGGCUCCUACAGCGUCUCCCAAUCGUGUAACUUAGCCUUCCUGACCCUCAGUUUCUACAUCUGCUAAGUGGAGACGCAAAUGCCUGCCCUGCCUACGUCACAAGAAUGUGAAGCCGUACACAACAAUGGCCUUAUUACCAUAUGGGAUGUUGUCAUAACUGAUGCAAACACUACGUAUUCUUGCUGUAUUGUUCUUUUAAAAGGACUUUCACACCUAGUAUACAUUUUAUUCUUUAACGGCUUUGGAAUGGCUUAAUAAAUAUCAUUUUUCCAUUUUACAGAGUAGAAAACUGAGGCGCGUUGAGUUUGACUUGCCAAGGUCGUAGAGUGGAGCCCUGAUUCUCACGAAGUCCCGCUGAACCGCACUGUCUCCAACGGAACAAGGAUACUGGGGCCCUCUUUCUAUGCUCCUCUAGGUCUGUUCCAGCUGGGCCUGAGUUGGAACUCAACUUAUAUGGCUGGAGGUUUCUCACCUGGAGAAGCUCUUAGAGGCCCAUCAUUCAUUUUCCUCAGUGCAUAGAACUCUGGAUGGGGGGCUGGACCAUCCGGACAGACUCAGACUGGCAGCGCGGCCUGAGUCUUGGAAACGCAAAUGCCCUCUGUAAAGAAGCCAGCCUUGUCAGUCAGGCAGAAUUGGGCUGCCAUCUCCACACUUACUCGCUGGGGUUCUUGGAAAUAUCUCAGCUAUGCACUAGACGUAACUUGAAUUUGGGGAUUUCUAGAGACCGUGUGUCCACUUGAUUGGGCUAAGGCUGCCCGAGAGCUGGUGAAACCUUAUUUCUGGGUGUGUCUGUGAGGUGUCUCUGGAAGACAUUGACAUUCGAAUGGUAGACUGAGUAGAGAAGACCACCUCUCCCCGUGCGGGUGGGCAUCAUCCAAUCUCCUGAGGGCCCGAACUGAAGAGAAGGCGGAGGAAGGGCAGGUUCUCUCUCUGUGAGCCGCGCAUGCAUCUUCUCCUGCCCUCGGACAUCAGCGCUCCUCGUUCGUGGGCCUUCGGAUUUGGACCAAGACUCCUGCCGUCAGCCCCUAGUUCUCCGGCCUUUGGACUCAGACUAAAUUAUACCGCCAGCGUUCCUGGUUCUCCAGCUUGUAGACAGAAAAGUGUGGGACUUCGUGGCCUCUGUAAUCACGUGAGCCAAUUCCUAUAAUAAAUCUCCUCAUAUCUAUCUAUCCUAUUGGUUC